UUGGACGGCCAUAGAUGCCUGGUCACACCUGUUCCCAUUCGAACACAGAAGUUAAGCAGGCAUCGUUCAUGACGGUACUGCACUUAGGUGCGGGAAAUCAUGAUUGCUGUCCGCC
rnacentral:rRNA from 1 species